rnacentral:rRNA from 1 species
GAGGGGAACAGAGGGAACUUCUGCUAAUACCCGAUGUGCCGCAAGGUGAAAGAUUUAUUGCCUGAAGAUGAGCUCGCGUCCGAUUAGCUAGUUGGAGUGGUAAGAGCACACCAAGGCGACGAUCGGUAGCUGGUCUGAGAGGAUGACCAGCCACACUGGGACUGAGACACGGCCCAGACUCCUACGGGAGGCAGCAGUGGGGAAUUUUCCGCAAUGGGCGAAAGCCUGACGGAGCAAGACCGCGUGAGGGAGGAAGGCUCUUGGGUUGUAAACCUCUUUUCUCUGGGAAGAAGAUCUGACGGUACCAGAGGAAUCAGCAUCGGCUAACUCCGUGCCAGCAGCCGCGGUAAUACGGAGGAUGCAAGCGUUAUCCGGAAUUAUUGGGCGUAAAGCGUCCGUAGGUGGCGGUUCAAGUCUGCCGUUAAAACCAGUAGCUUAACUACUGACAGGCGGUGGAAACUGAACAGCUAGAGUGUGGUAGGGGUAGAGGGAAUUCCCAGUGUAGCGGUGAAAUGCGUAGAGAUUGGGAAGAACACCGGUGGCGAAAGCGCUCUGCUGGACCACAACUGACACUCACAGGACGAAAGCUAGGGGAGCGAAAGGGAUUAGAUACCCUUGUAGUCAAAA